rnacentral:rRNA from 1 species
AAGUCGAGCGAGAAAGUAUCUUCGGAUAUGAGUAGAGCGGCGGACGGGUGAGUAACGCGUAGGAAUCUACCUAGUAGAAGGGGAUAGCCCGGGGAAACUCGGAUUAAUACCGUAUACCUCCUUAGGGAGAAAGAGGGCCUCUCUUGAAGCUCUCGCUAUUAGAUGAGCCUGCGUAAGAUUAGCUUGUUGGUAAGGUAAUGGCUUACCAAGGCUACGAUCUUUAGCUGGUCUGAGAGGACGAUCAGCCACAUUGGGACUGAGACACGGCCCAGACUCCUACGGGAGGCAGCAGUGGGGAAUAUUGGACAAUGGGCGCAAGCCUGAUCCAGCCAUACCGCGUGUGUGAAGAAGGCCUUCGGGUUGUAAAGCACUUUAAGCAGGGAGAAAAAGCAAUAAGUUAAUACCUUAUUGCCGUGAUGUUACCUGCAGAAUAAGCACCGGCUAAUUCCGUGCCAGCAGCCGCGGUAAUACGGAAGGUGCAAGCGUUAAUCGGAAUUACUGGGCGUAAAGCGCGCGUAGGUGGUUUGUUAAGUUGGAUGUGAGAGCCCUGGGCUCAACCUAGGAACUGCAUCCAAAACUAAUUCACUAGAGUACGAUAGAGGGAGGUAGAAUUCAUAGUGUAGCGGUGGAAUGCGUAGAUAUUAUGAAGAAUACCAGUGGCGAAGGCGGCCUCCUGGAUCUGUACUGACACUAAGGUGCGAAAGCGUGGGUAGCGAACAGGAUUAGAUACCCUGGUAGUCCACGCCGUAAACGGUGACAACUAGCUGUUGGGAGACAAUGUCUUUCAGUGGCGCAGCUAACGUUUUAAGUUGUCCGCCUGGGGAGUACGGCCGCAAGGCUAAAACUCAAAUGAAUUGACGGGGACCCGCACAAGCGGUGGAGCAUGUGGUUUAAUUCGAUGCAACGCGAAAAACCUUACCUACUCUUGACAUACUUGG